rnacentral:rRNA from 1 species
CGCAGCCGCGGGAAUACGUAGGGUGCAAGCGUUAAUCGGAAUUACUGGGCGUAAAGCGUGCGCAGGCGGUUAUAUAAGACAGAUGUGAAAUCCCCGGGCUCAACCUGGGAACUGCAUUUGUGACUGUAUAGCUAGAGUACGGCAGAGGGGGAUGGAAUUCCGCGUGUAGCAGUGAAAUGCGUAGAUAUGCGGAGGAACACCGAUGGCGAAGGCAAUCCCCUGGGCCUGUACUGACGCUCAUGCACGAAAGCGUGGGGAGCAAACAGGAUUAGAUACCCCCGUAGUCCCUGUCUCUUAUACC